rnacentral:lncRNA from 1 species
UCAAUAGGUGACACUUAAACCCUUCGAAUAUAAAGGAUUUAUAAGUGUCACCUAUUUAAUUAAGAUUAAGAUAUUUGCCUAUGGCACUUUUAAUACCUAAUUGAAUAGGAUGUGCGUUAUCUUGACAUGAGGAUUUAAAUUUGAACAAUAUAAUAUUGGAAACUAGGAUACUAUAGCUGCCUGAAUUUUUGUUUUUUGUUUUUUUAUUAUAUAUUAAUUCAAGAUAUCCCAGCUUCAAGAAGCGUUCAAUGGAAUUGAGGAAUUUAUUUGAUGCUACAUGGGUUUGUUUAAGUCAAAUUAAGGGCAAAAAUUAUGGUUGGCGAGAGUUUUGUCAUUCAAUUAUAGAUGAAUUGUUAUAUUGCUAAUUAGAUCAUUUCCCAAAUA